rnacentral:lncRNA from 1 species
GCAGCUACUACUCUCUAGAGAAGGCCUGUGGAUCAUCUUCAUUGUCAUCGUCAUCUGCGUAUCUGCAUCCUCAUCACUGCAUCAUCACCAGCACCAUUUAUUAAACACAAGGCCAGAUGUUUUAUCCUGCUGUGUUAAGUCAUCUUGACAUGUUGCCAUGAAAUGGAAACAACUGCUCGUUUUAAUAUUGCUCCAUAUCUUUAUUACAAGGUGGACCUCCCACCAUCAAGUGGAGCAAUCACAUCCUUGAG